UGGGGAAUAUUGCACAAUGGGCGCAAGCCUGAUGCAGCAACGCCGCGUGAGGGACGACGGCCUUCGGGUUGUAAACCUCUUUUAGCAGGGAAGAAGCGACUGAGUUUACUCUGAGUGACGGUACCUGCAGAAAAAGCACCGGCUAACUACGUGCCAGCAGCCGCGGUAAUACGUAGGGUGCAAGCGUUGUCCGGAAUUAUUGGGCGUAAAGAGCUCGUAGGCGGUCUGUCGCGUCUGCUGUGAAAUCCCGAGGCUCAACCUCGGACCUGCAGUGGGUACGGGCAGACUAGAGUGCGGUAGGGGAGAUUGGAAUUCCUGGUGUAGCGGUGGAAUGCGCAGAUAUCAGGAGGAACACCGAUGGCGAAGGCAGAUCUCUGGGCCGUAACUGACGCUGAGGAGCGAAAGCGUGGGGAGCAAACAG
rnacentral:rRNA from 1 species